rnacentral:rRNA from 1 species
CGAUCUCCUUCGGGAGGUAGCGGCGGACGGGUGAGUAACGCGUGGGAACGUGCCCUGGGGUACGGAACAACCGCUGGAAACGGCGGCUAAUACCGUAUGAUGUCUUCAGACCAAAGAUUUAUCGCCCUGGGAUCGGCCCGCGUUGGAUUAGGUAGUUGGUGGGGUAAUGGCCUACCAAGCCGACGAUCCAUAGCUGGUUUGAGAGGAUGACCAGCCACACUGGGACUGAGACACGGCCCAG